rnacentral:rRNA from 1 species
GCUCCUUGGGUGGCGAGUGGCGGACGGGUGAGGAAUACAUCGGAAUCUACUCUGUCGUGGGGGAUAACGUAGGGAAACUUACGCUAAUACCGCAUACGACCUACGGGUGAAAGCAGGGGACCUUCGGGCCUUGCGCGAUUGAAUGAGCCGAUGUCGGAUUAGCUAGUUGGCGGGGUAAAGGCCCACCAAGGCGACGAUCCGUAGCUGGUCUGAGAGGAUGAUCAGCCACACUGGAACUGAGACACGGUCCAGACUCCUACGGGAGGCAGCAGUGGGGAAUAUUGGACAAUGGGCGCAAGCCUGAUCCAGCCAUACCGCGUGGGUGAAGAAGGCCUUCGGGUUGUAAAGCCCUUUUGUUGGGAAAGAAAUCCAGCUGGCUAAUACCCGGUUGGGAUGACGGUACCCAAAGAAUAAGCACCGGCUAACUUCGUGCCAGCAGCCGCGGUAAUACGAAGGGUGCAAGCGUUACUCGGAAUUACUGGGCGUAAAGCGUGCGUAGGUGGUCGUUUAAGUCCGUUGUGAAAGCCCUGGGCUCAACCUGGGAACUGCAGUGGAUACUGGGCGACUAGAGUGUGGUAGAGGGUAGCGGAAUUCCUGGUGUAGCAGUGAAAUGCGUAGAGAUCAGGAGGAACAUCCAUGGCGAAGGCAGCUACCUGGACCAACACUGACACUGAGGCACGAAAGCGUGGGGAGCAAACAG